UAGGGAAUCUUCGGCAAUGGGGGGAACCCUGACCGAGCAACGCCGCGUGAGUGAAGAAGGUUUUCGGAUCGUAAAGCUCUGUUGUUAAGGAAGAACGAGUGUGAGAAUGGAAAGUUCAUACUGUGACGGUACUUAACCAGAAAGGGACGGCUAACUACGUGCCAGCAGCCGCGGUAAUACGUAGGUCCCGAGCGUUGUCCGGAAUUAUUGGGCGUAAAGCGCGCGUAGGCGGUUUUUUAAGUCUGAUGUGAAAGCCCACGGCUCAACCGUGGAGGGUCAUUGGAAACUGGACAACUUGAGUGCAGAAGAGGAAAGUGGAAUUCCAUGUGUAGCGGUGAAAUGCGCAGAGAUAUGGAGGAACACCAGUGGCGAAGGCGACUUUCUGGUCUGUAACUGACGCUGAUGUGCGAAAGCGUGGGGAUCAAACAGG
rnacentral:rRNA from 1 species